rnacentral:rRNA from 1 species
UGGCGGACGGGUGAGUAAUGUCUGGGAAACUGCCUGAUGGAGGGGGAUAACUACUGGAAACGGUAGCUAAUACCGCAUAACGCCGCAAGACCAAAGAGGGGGACCUUCGGGCCUCUUGCCAUCGGAUGUGCCCAGAUGGGAUUAGCUAGUAGGUGGGGUAACGGCUCACCUAGGCGACGAUCCCUAGCUGGUCUGAGAGGAUGACCAGCCACACUGGAACUGAGACACGGUCCAGACUCCUACGGGAGGCAGCAG